ensembl:snRNA U4 U4 spliceosomal RNA
AGCUUUGCACAGUGGCAGUAUUGUAGCCAAUGAGGUUUACCUGAGGUGCUAUUACUGCUAAUGGAAAACUUUUCCCAAUAUCCUGCCAUGACAACUUGAAAUAUACUCAGCAUUGGCAAUUUUUGACAGUCUCUACAGAGA